CCCGGGCCGCUCCAGGCCUAGGGCCCUGAACCAUGGGCCUCUUCAUUUCCGAAGCCUCACCGCGUCUCUUCAGACUCAGGUGCCACUUAGCUGGAAUCUGAAGAGCACACGGUCCUCUCUCGCACCUUGCACCUCUGGUGUGGGCUUUGGAGGCAGAAGGCAGCAUGCAGCAUUCUCUGGGAGACCUCUUUGUAUUCCUUGCUGAAGCUGCAGAACCCACAGUGUGGGUAUGCACCCCACUACCAGCAGCCAAGGAUUACCGUGGCGCAGAAGAUCGCAUCUGGAAGCAUUCUGCAAGCACAGAACACACAGCAUAUUUAAAACGUGCAGCCGUGUUGGUUUCUCCCCACCAGCCUCAAUGAUGCCUCAUGGAGGUGAUGCUCACUCUGCUGGGAUCCGCGGGUGACAGAGGAUGGGAAGGAUGAGGUUGGUCUUAGAGGUCUGUCUCCCUCUGACAUCGCCACAAACUGACUCAAAAGAACCAGUCCGAUCCACAUAACCCAGGAUCUCCCAUCUUGUCCUUUCUUAGGUGUCUGAUUGAUAUCCUCUCCCAGACUACUGUCACAUGUGCCUAUUCAGGGGACUUGCUAGCUAGACUGGGCCUGGACUGUGACUCCUGUGUCUAUUCAAAAUGCCUUGUGUGGGCUGUUGAGCUUGCCACACAAGCCUGCCCUUUGCUCUCUAGGACCCACUGUGGUUGGGGAUAGCCGAUACCCAAAAGCUGUCCUGUGAUACCCCCUGCUGUCCUGUGAUAGCCCUUGCAUGCCGCAGUGCUUACACACUCUACACGCAAAUACAUAAAGGUGUGAAAAUCAAAGAAAAGCAUUGUCCACUUCUGGGAGGUAACACAAACCUGCAAUCCGAAUACUCAAGAGACGGAGCAGUGAGACCCUGUCUCGGAAAGGGGGGAGAGACGGCGAAGAGGAUGAAAAAGAGGAAGGGCAGGGAAGAGAGAUUAUCUCUCUCAGCUUCCUGUUCCAGUGUCUCCGGGUUUGCAGCCCACCUUCUGCCUCCCGUCUUCCCACGUGUGCCUCCGUCUUCACACCGCUGUCCCUGUGUCUCCGUGUCUCUCCGCUCUGCCUAAGCAGGCCACUUUUUGGGCCAGGAUAAUCUGAACUUCGUGACAUCUGCAGACCCUUCUUCCACCUUGGUCAUUGUCACGGCAGCGAGGACAAGGACACACAAAGGGAGACCUGCGCACCCCUGAGCCUUGGUAGUACUAUGAAGGAAGAAAAAUCCUACAGCUGUUUGGAGACCUUGCUGGGGGUGGGGCUGGGAGUUCACCUCCCAUGACUUCCUUUCCGGUCUGUCUCAGUCUGUUGUGUAGCUGUUUCCUCUGACAUGGAGACAUCCCGUCUUGCAGAAAGCUCCUUAAAGAGGAAGGUUAACAACUCAAAAUAGCUUCAGGAAGUCCAUGAAACUAACGAGAUUCACUAGGCCCCUCCCUGCCAGAGUGAACAAUAAAAGCUGAGUGUAGCUCUCAGAGCUGCUAAGAAGACUCAGACCUGACCAAGCUCCCCCGAAGAACCAGAAGCCAGCUGAGUGGUCUGGAAGCAGUUUAGACCAGAGUCCCUUGGAAAGGACCCUCUUCAACCUGUUGAGCUGCCUGCAGGCUGUGCGGUUGGCUCCAGGCUCCUGGAUCUUGUGAGCUGUCGCCCAUGCUUAGGUGGGCCUUGCUGACACUGCUAUCUUUGCAUCAUUCCUGUCGCUGUAAGUAACUUCUCACCCACACUCCUGUUAGUAACCCAACAGAACUCACUGGUUUACCAAGUUGGACUCUGGUGGUAUCCAUAAUUUGGUCUGAUGUGGGAUCCCUAUCUGGGGCGAGGAGAUGUGUGUGUUGCGUUUCCCCAGGAAAACUUUUGUCACACAACUCAGUCUGACCACAGCUAUCUGAACAGUGCCAGUUGCACCCCUUCUGGUAACAUCUGUCCUUCAGGGACUCUCUAGAAAGACCCCUCUCCUAGAGAAGGGGCUUGGAGAAAAUCAUGCUUCUCCCUCCCAGCUCCCUGCCCAUGCCAUAGCCACUCUUCUGCAACCCGAGUCCUGGAAGCCAGGUGCCAUAUGGUUCAUGUUCUAUUUUGAGAGCACAGGGCCUCAGGUAGACACCCGGGGGCAGGGGCACAGUGGCUGAAGUCCCUCCCCGUGCAUGGAUCAUGUCCUGACAGUAGCACUUACAGAGGUGGAGCACGGAGGACUGGCCCUCGAUGAGUGUGUGUGGUUGGGGGAAGGUUCUGGAAGGGGAAAAGGGAACCUCCUCUUGACCAGGGCUCAGGCCCCUGUCUCCCCAAGGAGACAGAGAGACCCACGAGGAUCUCAGGAACCAAAAGGAAGCCCUAGGCCUGCUCUGCUUGGAGGUUCCUAGGCCCAGUGUCUAUCAAAACCAGAAUGUGGGGCCUGGGGAGAUGGCUCAGUGGUAGAGUGCUUACCAGACAAUGAUGAGAACUGGAUCUGGCUGGAUCUGGCUGGAACUUGGGAGGCAGAGAUGGGGGAUCCCCCAGAACAAACAGCUGGCUGGAUGUGGUGAUCUGAGUGAAAAUGGCCCCCUUAGGCUCAUAGGGAAUGAUAAUAUUUGAAAGGAUUAGAACUUGCAGCCUUUUUGGAGUAGGUGUGGCCUUGUUAGAGGCAGUGUGUCACUGGGGGCAGGCUUUGAGGUUUCAGAAGCUCAGGCCAGGCUCAGUGACUCACUCUCCUGCUGCCUGCUGAUAGAGAAUUCUCUGCUACUUCUCCAGCACCACAUCUGUCUGCGUGCUACCAUGCUUCCCCGAGUAACAAUAACGGACUAAACCUCUGAAACAAAAACCAGCCCCAAUUCAAUACUUUCCUUUAUAAGAGCUGUUAUGGUCACGGUGUCUCUUCACAGCAGAACACUGACUAAGACACUGGACUAGGUAUUGGGCAAGGUCUGGGUUCCAGUGAGAGACCCUGUCUCAAUAAAUAAAGUGGAAAAUGAUCAA